rnacentral:rRNA from 1 species
ACUCAAAUGAAUUGACGGGGACCCGCACAAGCAGCGGAGCGUGUGGUUUAAUUCGAUGCAACGCGCAGAACCUUACCAGGAUUUGACAUGCCACUGCACCAUCCGUUAUGGGAUGUCCGAGCAAUCGGCGGUGGCACAGGUGCUGCAUGGCUGUCGUCAGCUCGUGUCGUGAGAUGUUGGGUUCAGUCCCGCAACGAGCGCAACCCUUGCUGCUAGUUGCAAGAUCUAGCAGGACUGCCGCGAAGAACGCGGAGGAAGGCGGGGAUGACGUCAAGUCAGCACGGCCCUUACAUCCUGGGCGACACACACGCUACAAUGGUCGGGACAACGGGCUGCCAACCCGCGAGGGGGAGCCAAUCCCAGCAAACCCGGCCUCAGUUCAGAUUGCAGGCUGCAACCCGCCUGCAUGAAGGAGGAGUUGCUAGUAACCGGAGGUCAGCACACUCCGGUGAAUACGUUCCCGGGUCUUGCACACACCGCCCGU